GACGAACGCUGGCGGCGUGCUUAACACAUGCAAGUCGAACGCUGAAGCUCAGCUUUUGUUGGGUGGAUGAGUGGCGAACGGGUGAGUAACACGUGAGUAACCUGCCUCCUUCUUUGGGAUAACGCCCGGAAACGGGUGCUAAUACUGGAUAUUCACUGGUCUUCGCAUGGGGGUUGGUGGAAAGGGUUUUUCUGGUGGGGGAUGGGCUCGCGGCCUAUCAGCUUGUUGGUGGGGUGAUGGCCUACCAAGGCUUUGACGGGUAGCCGGCCUGAGAGGGUGACCGGGCACAUUGGGACUGAGAUACGGCCCAGACUCCUACGGGAGGCAGCAGUGGGGAAUAUUGCACAAUGGGCGCAAGCCUGAUGCAGCGACGCCGCGUGAGGGAUGGAGGCCGUCGGGUUGUGAACCUCUUUCGCUCAUGGUCAAGCCGCAACAAUGGUUGUGGUGAGGGUAGUGGGUAAAGAAGCGCCGGCUAACUACGUG
rnacentral:rRNA from 1 species